UACGUAGGUGGCAAGCGUUGUCCGGAAUUAUUGGGCGUAAAGCGCGCGCAGGCGGUCCUUUAAGUCUGAUGUGAAAUCUCGCGGCUCAACCGCGAGCGGUCAUUGGAAACUGGGGGACUUGAGUGCAGAAGAGGAAAGCGGAAUUCCACGUGUAGCGGUGAAAUGCGUAGAGAUGUGGAGGAACACCAGUGGCGAAGGCGGCUUUCUGGUCUGUAACUGACGCUGAGGCGCGAAAGCGUGGGGAGCAAACAGG
rnacentral:rRNA from 1 species